UACGAAGGGGGGCUAGCGUUGCUCGGAAUUACUGGGCGUAAAGGGCGCGUAGGCGGAUGUUUAAGUUGGGGGGUGAAAGCCCAGAGCUCAACUCUGGAAUUGCCUUUGAGACUGAGUGGCUUGAGUACGAGAGAGGUGAGUGGAAUUCCCAGUGUAGAGGCGAAAUUCGUAGAUAUUGGGGAAGAACACCAGUGGCGAAGGCGGCUCUCUGGACCGUAACUGACGCUGAGGCGGCGAAAAGCGUGGGGGAGCAAACAGG
rnacentral:rRNA from 1 species